GAUGAACGCUGGCGGCGUGCUUAACACAUGCAAGUCGAGCGAGAAGUUUUGAAAAGAUUCUUCGGAUGAAAUUUAAAAUGGAAAGCGGCGGACGGGUGAGUAACGCGUAGGCAACCUGCCCCAUACAAAGGGAUAGCAUUUGGAAACGAAUAUUAAUACCUUAUGAAACUUAACUAGUGCAUGCUAGGUAGGUCAAAGAUUUAUCGGUAUGGGAUGGGCCUGCGUCUGAUUAGCUAGUUGGUGAGGUAACGGCUCACCAAGGCGACGAUCAGUAGCCGACCGGAGAGGGUGAACGGCCACAUUGGAACUGAGACACGGUCCAAACUCCUACGGGAGGCAGCAGUGGGGAAUAUUGCACAAUGGGGGAAACCCUGAUGCAGCAACGCCGCGUGAACGAUGAAGGCCUUUGGGGCGUAAAGUUCUGUUCUAGGUGAUGAAAACUGACAGUAACCUAGGAGAAAGCCCCGGCUAACUCCGUG
rnacentral:rRNA from 1 species